UACAGGUGUGUUUGUUCAACUGAUGGACAAAGGCAGGCUAGACAAGUGCAAAAUAAAUCCUCUUCUCAACCUAGAAUUCACUGUUCAGUAUGAGUCUUGACACAUACAGAGGGAGUAUG
ensembl:snoRNA Gm26306 small nucleolar RNA SNORA40